rnacentral:rRNA from 1 species
AACGAACGCUGGCGGCAUGCCUAACACAUGCAAGUCGAACGAGACCUUCGGGUCUAUUGGCGCACGGGUGCGUAACGCGUGGGAACCUGCCCUUAGGUUCGGAAUAACUCCCCGAAGGGUGUGCUAAUACCGGAUAAUGUCUUCGGACCAAAGAGUUAUCGCCUUUGGAUGGGCCCGGGUUGGAUUAGGUAGUUGGUAGGGUAAAGGCCGACCAAGGGGAGGAUGCAUGGCUGGUCGGGUAGGAUGCUCUUCCACAAUGGGACUGCGACCCGGCCCAGACCCCUACGGGACGCAGCAGUAGGGAAUAUUGGACACUGGGCGCAAGUCUGAUCCAGCCAUGCCGCGUGAGAGAUGAAGGGCUUAGGGUUGUACAGCUCUUUUAGCCGGGAUGAUAAUGACAGUACCGGGAGAAUAAGCUCCGGCUAACUACGUG